rnacentral:rRNA from 1 species
AUUGAACGCUAGCGGGAUGCUUUACACAUGCAAGUCGAACGGCAGCGCGGACUUCGGUCUGGCGGCGAGUGGCGAACGGGUGAGUAAUGUAUCGGAACGUGCCCAGUAGCGGGGGAUAACUACGCGAAAGCGUAGCUAAUACCGCAUACGCCCUACGGGGGAAAGCAGGGGAUCGUAAGACCUUGCACUAUUGGAGCGGCCGAUAUCGGAUUAGCUAGUUGGUGAGGUAACGGCUCACCAAGGCGACGAUCCGUAGCUGGUUUGAGAGGACGACCAGCCACACUGGGACUGAGACACGGCCCAGACUCCUACGGGAGGCAGCAGUGGGGAAUUUUGGACAAUGGGGGCAACCCUGAUCCAGCCAUCCCGCGUGUGCGAAGAAGGCCUUCGGGUUGUAAAGCACUUUUGGCAGGAAAGAAACGGCGCGGGCUAAUACCCCGUGGAACUGACGGUACCUGCAGAAUAAGCACCGGCUAACUACGUG